CCUGGAACUCACUUUGUAGACCAGGCUGGCCUCAAACUCACAGAGAUCUACUUGCUUCUGCCUCCUGAGUGCUGGGAU
rnacentral:miRNA from 1 species